UACGUAGGGGGCAAGCGUUAUCCGGAUUUACUGGGUGUAAAGGGAGCGUAGACGGUGAUGUAAGUCAGAUGUGAAAGCCCAGGGCUCAACCCUGGGACUGCAUUUGAAACUAUGUUGCUAGAGUGCAGGAGAGGUAAGUGGAAUUCCUAGUGUAGCGGUGAAAUGCGUAGAUAUUAGGAGGAACACCAGUGGCGAAGGCGGCUUACUGGACUGUAACUGACGUUGAGGCUCGAAAGCGUGGGGAGCAAACAGG
rnacentral:rRNA from 1 species